AAGAAAUUAGUUUAAAAAAAACAUUACUUUGUCAAAGUAAAAAUAUAUUGUAUAUAUUUCUUU
rnacentral:tRNA from 1 species